rnacentral:rRNA from 1 species
AUUGAACGCUGGCGGCAUGCUUUACACAUGCAAGUCGAACGGUAACAGGGAGCUUGCUCCGCUGACGAGUGGCGAACGGGUGAGUAAUGCGUCGGAACGUGCCGAGUAGUGGGGGAUAACGCAGCGAAAGUUGUGCUAAUACCGCAUACGUACUGAGGUAGAAAGUGGGGGACCUUCGGGCCUCACGCUAUUCGAGCGGCCGACGUCUGAUUAGCUACUAGGUGAGGUAAAGGCUCACCUAGGCGACGAUCAGUAGCGGGUCUGAGAGGAUGAUCCGCAACACUGGGACUGAGACACGGCCCAGACUCCUACGGGAGGCAGCAGUGGGGAAUUUUGGACAAUGGGCGAAAGCCUGAUCCAGCCAUGCCGCGUGUCUGAAGAAGGCCUUCGGGUUGUAAAGGACUUUUGUCGGGGAGGAAAUCCCCAGCGCUAAUACCGCUGGGGGAUGACAGUACCUGAAGAAUAAGCACCGGCUAACUACGUGCCAGCCGCCGCCGUAAAAC